rnacentral:rRNA from 1 species
GACGAACGCUGGCGGCGUGCUUAACACAUGCAAGUCGAACGGAAAGGCCCUGCUUUUGUGGGGUGCUCGAGUGGCGAACGGGUGAGUAACACGUGAGUAACCUGCCCUUGACUUUGGGAUAACUUCAGGAAACUGGGGCUAAUACCGGAUAGGAGCUCCUGCUGCAUGGUGGGGGUUGGAAAGUUUCGGCGGUUGGGGAUGGACUCGCGGCUUAUCAGCUUGUUGGUGGGGUAGUGGCUUACCAAGGCUUUGACGGGUAGCCGGCCUGAGAGGGUGACCGGCCACAUUGGGCCUGAGAUACGGCCCAGACUCCUACGGGAGGCAGCAGUGGGGAAUAUGGCACAAUGGGCGGAAGCCUGAUGCAGCAACGCCGCGUGCGGGAUGACGGCCUUCGGGUUGUAAACCGCUUUCGCCUGUGACGAAGCGUGAGUGACGGUAAUGGGUAAAGAAGCACCGGCUAACUACGUG